UACGGAGGGAGCUAGCGUUGUUCGGAAUUACUGGGCGUAAAGCGCGCGUAGGCGGCUUUGUAAGUUAGAGGUGAAAGCCCGGGGCUCAACCCCGGAACUGCCUUUAAGACUGCAUCGCUUGAAUCCGGGAGAGGUGAGUGGAAUUCCGAGUGUAGAGGUGAAAUUCGUAGAUAUUCGGAAGAACACCGGUGGCGAAGGCGGGUCUCUGGGCAGUAACUGACGCUGAGGAGCGAAAGCGUGGGGAGCAAACAGG
rnacentral:rRNA from 1 species